GCACCGCUAGCUCAAUUGGAUAGAGCAUCGGUCUACGGAACCGAAGGUUGCAGGUUCGAGCCCUGCGCGGUGUA
rnacentral:tRNA from 1 species